rnacentral:rRNA from 1 species
GAGUUUGAUCUUGGCUCAGAGUGAACGCUGGCGGCAGGCCUAACACAUGCAAGUCGAGCGGCAGCACGGGUAGCAAUACCUGGUGGCGAGCGGCGGACGGGUGAGGAAUACAUCGGAAUCUGCCUUGUCGUGGGGGAUAACGUAGGGAAACUUACGCUAAUACCGCAUACGACCGAGAGGUGAAAGCGGGGGAUCGCAAGACCUCGCGCGACAAGAUGAGCCGAUGUCGGAUUAGCUAGUUGGCGGGGUAAGAGCCCACCAAGGCGACGAUCCGUAGCUGGUCUGAGAGGAUGAUCAGCCACACUGGAACUGAGACACGGUCCAGACUCCUACGGGAGGCAGCAGUGGGGAAUAUUGGACAAUGGGCGCAAGCCUGAUCCAGCCAUGCCGCGUGGGUGAAGAAGGCC